rnacentral:lncRNA from 1 species
UGUUUCCAGACACUCUGUGCAAAGAACAGAGGCAAGCCUCCAGCCAGGAGCUCAUGAAAUCAUGAACUGAGGCCUCAGUGCAAUAGCUCAUGAGGAAAUGAAUUAUUUCAACAGCCAGUUAUGCUUCAAGCCAUACUUAAGAUCGAUGAAUCCUCCUUUAUAAACACAGAUGUAGUAAACACUCAGAGAAAACGAGGUUGAAAAACCAAAUGCUGGGGAGGAGCCAAGAUGGCCGAGUAGGAACAGCUCCGGUCUACAGCUCCCAGCGUGAGCGACGCAGAAGACGGGUGAUUUCUGCAUUUCCAUCUGAGGUACCGGGUUCAUCUCACUAGGGAGCGCCAGACAGUGGGCGCAGUUCUGGAAGUUGGAAGUACAAGAUCAGAUUGCCAGCAUCAUCAGAUUUGAUAUCAAAGUAAUGUCAAGUGCUUCUGACCCACUGCAUUAAACGUGUGCUGAGCAGUUGGUGGUAGAAGACAUUAUUGUGAAGGCUGCUCACCACCAAUUUCAUCACUGUUGCUAACUCCAGCUCAUCUAAUCUCUGCAACAUCUGCUACCAGCACCUUCUCUUGCCUCCUUUUGUGAACAUAGUUUUUUCUUCUGGUUAGAAAAUCAGUUCGAACUUCUUGAGUUUUGUGUUUUAAACUCUUCUCAACUGUUCCGAUGAUUGAUGGAUGGCCCAGAGGCGACCUCUUUAUCUCCAGCAACAUAUUUGGCUGUUGGCCCGGUAGAGAGGUACUCCAGAAGCUUGCUGGUUCAUCAUGCUCUCAUCUUUAACCACAACUAUUUAUCUGACUCCUUCCAUCUCCACAGCACUGUGUGAGGGAUCAGUGAUAAGAGACGGUGAAAGACAUGCGCAAAUGGAUAAAUAAUAAGCAGGAUAUGUAGAAUGACACAACAAUUGAUGAGUAAUUUAGGAGAUCCAAUAACUAAAAAAAAAAAGACUGGGGACAAGUUCAUGGAAAGAGUAAUCAACUAAGCCUUAUAACAUAAAAUUGACAAAUAGAGAAGGCAUGCAAUCCAGUAGAAUAGAGUGCAAAAGAGGUAGAAGACUAAUCGUUUCAAGACAUGUUGAGCCACAACAGCAAUAACAUUGUGACAAAAAACGUCGGUGUAGACUGCAGAAGAUCUUCAAUGACGGAUCAAGCUGUAUAGACUUUUUUUUACCCUCAUAUACUGAAUAGUCAUUUAAGGUAUACAGUGCCAACGUAAGAGAGAAAGGUAAACUUUUUUUAACACAAGUUGUAGGCCUUGGAAAGAAGUUUUCCAGUAACAAGAUAACACGAUAAUGUACUGUGGUUAUAAGCUCAAAGUGGUAUAUUUGAUUCAGUGUUCCCAGAACCACCAAAACCUUGGAACCAUUGUUUAGCUAAAGCUACUAGAACAACAGAAUAACCUACUCUGUGGCAUUGUAAAGUAAAAUUAUACUACACACAAAUACUUGACAUAAAAUACAUUUCCAAACUCAAUUAUUAGGGAUAACAUAAGCACAAAAUGAUGCUUUGCAAACAUCAUGUAUCCUAUAACUGGAGAAAAAAAAUUAAUGACAUGAAGUGAAAUGACUGAGUUCUGAAGCUACAUCUCAAUUUAAAUAGCAUAAGCAAUUUAGUAUACAACAUUCUUCAAAAUCAAUUGUUGAAGGUUAACUAUAAUCUACAUACAAAAACAACUUUGUCAACUUUUUGUACGGAUUUUCCUUCUAAACAUAUUUACUUUAUGUGUAAAAUCAAAAAAUUUCCUGAGUUAAAGGCUAAGACUUGACUUUAUGAAUACAUGCCCAAAAAUUGGUGGUGGCUGGUUUCUGUUUUUAUUUUGUAAGCUUAGUAUAAUGGUUGUCCAGAACUUGUAAGCAAUGACCUCAUUUCUAAGCGGACAAGAUGCAAAAGACCAUUUUUACAGAUUAACCAUCUGGUUCCUUUAGGAAGAGUAAUAUUUCAACAGGUUCCUGUAUUUCAAGAAUAUAAAUAAUUAAAAAGAUGAAGAUAUGUGAAAUACACAAAGAAAAAAAUAGAGAAAAUAGCAUUUAAAGCAAAUUAUCCUAGCUCCCUCAAUUAAUAUUUUAAAACCAUGACAAUCAGUUAUUAAUAUAAAUUGUUAAUUUUAUUUAAUACAACAUCAAUAUAAUUCAUACCAUCUUCUUCAACUAGGUGGUCUAUCAUUUUGGAGUUUCUUUCCACCUCUGGAGAAUUGCUCAGGAAAUCUGGCUAACAUACCAAAUAAAUCAAAUGGAUUUAAUGAGAUGGUUUUUGGCUAGU